rnacentral:rRNA from 1 species
UACGUAGGGUGCGAGCGUUAAUCGGAAUUACUGGGCGUAAAGCGUGCGCAGGCGGCGCGUUAAGACAGGUGUGAAAGCCCCGAGCUUAACUUGGGAAUUGCGCUUGUUACUGGCAAGCUAGAGUGCGUCAGAGGGAGGUGGAAUUCCACGUGUAGCAGUGAAAUGCGUAGAGAUGUGGAGGAACACCGAUGGCGAAGGCAGCCUCCUGGGAUGACACUGACGCUCAUACACGAAAGCGUGGGGAGCAAACAGG